UAACAUAUAAUAAUACUGGAGAAGAUGAGACAUCGGAAAAUGUUAUUAUAUUAAUAACAUUGGAAAAUUUAUUAUAUGAAUAUCUACAUGACCAUCCAGAAAUAAAAUGUAUUGCAACUUCUACUCUUGCCAUCUUGGAACCCUGAGACCAUGAUGGUAUGAAACUCUCUGGGAUGAAAAACCACGUGCAAAGAGUUUUAGCCUUCCCAGCCAUGCCAGCUAUCCUAGCUGAGACUCAAGAGGUGUGAAAAGGCCAUCUUAGACCAUUCCAUCCCAACAAAAGUAAUAAACAAAUACUUGUCUCAAGAUUCA